UACGUAGGGUGCGAGCGUUGUCCGGAAUUAUUGGGCGUAAAGAGCUCGUAGGCGGUUUGUCGCGUCGACUGUGAAAACCCGAGGCUUAACCUCGGGCCUGCAGUCGAUACGGGCAGACUAGAGUUCGGUAGGGGAGACUGGAAUUCCUGGUGUAGCGGUGAAAUGCGCAGAUAUCAGGAGGAACACCGGUGGCGAAGGCGGGUCUCUGGGCCGAUACUGACGCUCAUGUGCGAAAGCGUGGGGAGCAAACAGG
rnacentral:rRNA from 1 species